UGGGGAAUCUUAGACAAUGGGCGCAAGCCUGAUCUAGCCAUGCCGCGUGGGUGAUGAAGGCCUUAGGGUCGUAAAGCCCUUUCGCCGGGGAAGAUAAUGACGGUACCCGGUAAAGAAACCCCGGCUAACUCCGUGCCAGCAGCCGCGGUAAUACGGAGGGGGUUAGCGUUGUUCGGAAUGACUGGGCGUAAAGCGCGCGUGGCGGGCUGGAAAGUUGGGGGUGAAAUCCCGGGGCUCAACCCCGGAAUGGCCUUCAAAANUCCCAGCCUAGAGGUUCGAGGAGAGGUGAGUGGAAUCGNUNNAGAGGUGAAAUUCGUAGAUAUUCGGAGGAACACCAGUGGCGAGGCGGCUCACUGGCUCGACACUGACGCUGAGGUGCGAAAGCGUGGGGAGCAAAACAGGAUUAGAUACCCUGGUAGUCCACGCCGUAAACGAUGAAUGCCAGACGUCGGGGGGCUUGCCCUUCGGUGUCACACCUAACGAUUAAGGC
rnacentral:rRNA from 1 species